UGCAGAUUUUAGCACUUGUGUUGGCUUGAGUCCCAUCCGGGAUUCGAACCCAUACCCUUAGAGUCAUACACCUAAUCGCCUGCACACAACUGGGUUAGACUGUGGUGGCUAUUAGGUGCCUGACUCUGAGGGUGUGGAUUCGAAUCCCUACAAGUUCUUCUCCUGAACCAACCAACUAUAGGUUCAUCUCCAACUUCACUUUCUGUACCUGCACCAGCUGUAGUUACUGCAUUUCUUCUCCUGCACUAGUUAUAGAUACUACAGCUUCUUCUUCUAUACAAACUCUGGUUACUACAGUUUCCUCUCCUGUACCAGGUGUACCUAUUGCAGCUGAAAAGUAUUUAAGCGUAUGUGACCUUCCUUAACAUGCAAAGUAAGGGCACUGAUAUUGUUACAAAUCCAUGUAUAUGUAAAGUAAAUUGAUCCCUAACUGUAGAUCUGAUAUCUCUUCCGCUUCAUGAUCCUGCUUCUGUAUGCGUUUUGGUCAAGAGGCCUUUUACUGAAUCACAAUGCCUGUUAUGUUACUCAUUCCUCACAAUAAAGUUGUAACAAGCAC